AUAUUAAAAUCCAGUAAGUUUCUUGAUCUUGAGGAUUAUUCCUGGAGUACUCUUCGCUCCCUGGUGGGCAGGCUUUGGCCAUGCAAGGUGUGCUAGGUGGCCUGGAUCAAACAAAUAAUAGAAGUCUGUUGAAGCUUUGUCCUGACCUAUCCUGGAAGUAGAAGAAUACUCUGGAGAAAGGAGCAUUGUAAGCACAAAGAAUAAGAUUCCUCAAUCCUGAGAGAGAGAAUUAAAGUCUAACUCUCCAAAUGUCUACUCUAAUGUGAUGCUGGGAUUGAAUUUUCCUAGGACUCCGUUUCAAGGUUGAUUCGAAAGUCUUGUGGAAGAUCUGGAAGAAACAGGUAUUAAGU
rnacentral:sRNA from 1 species